ACUCCUACGGGAGGCAGCAGUAGGGAAUCUUCCACAAUGGACGCAAGUCUGAUGGAGCAACGCCGCGUGAGUGAAGAAGGGUUUCGGCUCGUAAAGCUCUGUUGUUAAAGAAGAACGUGGGUGAGAGUAACUGUUCACCCAGUGACGGUAUUUAACCAGAAAGCCACGGCUAACUACGUGCCAGCAGCCGCGGUAAUACGUAGGUGGCAAGCGUUAUCCGGAUUUAUUGGGGCGUAAAGCGAGCGCAGGCGGUCUUUUAAGUCUAAUGUGAAAGCCUUCGGCUCAACCGAAGAAGUGCAUUGGAAACUGGGUGACUUGAGUGCAGAAGAGGACAGUGGAACUCCAUGUGUAGCGGUGAAAUGCGUAGAUAUAUGGAAGAACACCAGUGGCGAAGGCGGCUGUCUGGUCUGUAACUGACGCUGAGGCUCGAAAGCAUGGGUAGCGAACAGGAUUAGAUACCCUGGUAGGAUAGCG
rnacentral:rRNA from 1 species